UACGUAGGGGGCUAGCGUUGUUCGGAAUUACUGGGCGUAAAGCGCGUGUAGGCGGCCAACUAAGUCCGACGUGAAAUCCCACGGCUUAACCGUGGAACUGCCUGUCAGACUGCAUGGCUUGAGACCAGGAGAGGUGAGUGGAAUUCCCAGUGUAGCGGUGAAAUGCGUAGAUAUUGGGAGGAACACCAGUGGCGAAGGCGGCUCACUGGACUGGUACUGACGCUGAGGCGCGAAAGCGUGGGGAGCAAACAGG
rnacentral:rRNA from 1 species